GACGUAGGUGGCGAACGUUAUCCGGAAUUAUUGGGCGUAAAGGGUGCGUAGGUGGCGCUGUAAGUCGGGUGUGAAAUUUCGGAGCUUAACUCCGAAACUGCAUUCGAUACUGCGGUGCUUGAGGACUGGAGAGGAGACUGGAAUUCAUGGUGUAGCAGUGAAAUGCGUAGAGAUCAUGAGGAAGACCAGUGGCGAAGGCGGAUCUCUGGACAGUUCCUGACGCUGAGGCACGAAGGCCAGGGGAGCAAACGGG
rnacentral:rRNA from 1 species